CUGCUAGAGUUUAUAUUUUUUUAAAUUUGUCCUGUUGCUGCCUGAUGUCGUCCCAUUCUGUCUCGGACUUCCAAUACGAGCGGACGUCACCAAGCAACACAGCAAGUCACACCUAAGGGUGCCAUACAAAGAUAGAAAGGGCUUUUGUUUAAACCACUAUAUGGAAUUAUUGACGGAGAUAUUUGCCAAUCGAUGUGAUCGCAUACGUCCCUGAUAAUUUGGACAUCAACCAGUAAAAAGGAAUAUCGCAAACAAUUCCUCCAUAAUUUUAUCAACGAUUACGAAGUACAUCAUGUUUUCGAAACAACGAGCAGCUAAGCGAUAUUAUUUAUUUUAGUUUGGUUUCUGUAAUUUGUAAUGUAAGUGUGGGUCAUGAGUGUUAUGGAAUGGGUCAUGAAUGUUAUAUCUUAAAAUCGCCUUAUUUAAUCAAAUAUGUUCUUAUUGAAUUCAUUUGUCAUUGUGUGUUCAUUUAUAGUUCUUGAAUUGUGUUAAUUUGGGCAUAAAUUAAUUCAGCUAAUAACUUUCUUAUUUUUUGUAUUUAAAGACAAUAAUUCUUUGGAUGUUUUUCUCUCAAUUAUUAAAUAUAAAUACAUAAGGAAUUA